rnacentral:rRNA from 1 species
CUACGGGAUGCUGCAGUGAGGAAUAUUGGUCAAUGGGCGAGAGCCUGAACCAGCCAAAUCGCGUGAAGGAUGAAGGUAUUAUGUAUUGUAAACUUCUUUUACAGGGGAAUAAAGUGCGGGACGUGUCCCGUUUUGUAUGUACCCUGAGAAUAAGGAUCGGCUAACUCCGUGCCAGCAGCCGCGGUAAUACGGAGGAUCCAAGCGUUAUCCGGAUUUAUUGGGUUUAAAGGGUGCGUAGGCGGGUAAUCAAGUCAGCGGUGAAAGUUUGCGGCUCAACCGUAAAAUUGCCGUUGAAACUGGUUACCUUGAGUGUAGAUGAGGUGGGUGGAAUUCGUGGUGUAGCGGUGAGAUGCUUAGAUAUCACGAAGAACUCCAAUUGCGUAGGCAGCUCACUGGGCUACAACUGACGCUGAGGCACGAAGGUGCGGGGAUCAAACAGGAUUAGAUACCCGCGUAGUC